rnacentral:rRNA from 1 species
GACGAACGCUGGCGGCGUGCUUAACACAUGCAAGUCGAACGGACAGGCCCUGCUCUUGUGGGGUGCACGAGUGGCGAACGGGUGAGUAACACGUGAGUAACCUGUCCUUGACUUUGGGAUAACUUCAGGAAACUGGGGCUAAUACCGGGUAGGAUCUCCUGCUGCACGGUGGGGGUUGGUAAGUUUCGGCGGUUGUGGCUGUACUCGCGGCUUACCAGCUGGUUUGUGGGGUAGUGGCGUACCAAGGCUUUGACGGGUAGCCGGCCUGAGAGGUGAGACGGGCUCCAUGGUACUGAGAUACGGACCAGUCGCGUACGGGAGGCAGUGGGGGGGAGUAUUGCAGAAUGGGCGGAAGCCUGAUGUAGCGACGCCGCGUGCGGGAUGACGGCCUUCGAGGUGUAAACCGCUUUCGCCUGAGCCGAAGCGGGAGUGACGGUAAUGGGUAAAGAAGCACCGGCUAACUACGUG